UAAGAAGGCCAUUUUCGGCCAAGCUCUAGACCAAAAAAAAAAAAAAAUUUUUUUUUUUUUUUUUUUCAAAAAUCAUUUUCUACCAAUUAAAGUGUCCUUUACAACUUGGUGUAAUUAUUUUGGAAGAAAGAACACUUGUUUCUUCAAGUUGACAACUUGGUCAAGUGAAGAAGAUUGUAGAAAAAGAUUUUGGCGAACUUGAAACUUGAUUUUGGAGACGUGUAUGAAGCGGAAAAGGUCAGCAGACAGGUGGACGUGAUCCUUAGAAGCUCUACCAGCCGCACUUGACAGCGCUCCAGUUGUUCCGGAGCCUCACUCCAGCGGUACUAUUUUAUGCAUAUACAUUCGGGCUUGGUAGCACCCCGGCCCUUUCUAUGUAUAAGUGUACUAUGUCUAGAGGCUCGUAGACAGAUACGUACAGUCAGUCAGGUACAGAUAUAUGUAUAGUGUUUUGGCAUGUUAAUAUUGUUGUACAAGGUAAUAA